rnacentral:rRNA from 1 species
UGGGGAAUAUUGCACAAUGGGCGAAAGCCUGAUGCAGCAACGCCGCGUGAGUGAUGAAGGCCUUCGGGUUGUAAAGCUCUGUCUUUUGGGACGAUAAUGACGGUACCAAAGGAGGAAGCCACGGCUAACUACGUGCCAGCAGCCGCGGUAAUACGUAGGUGGCAAGCGUUGUCCGGAUUUUACUGGGCGUAAAGGAUGCGUAGGCGGAUUUUUAAGUGAGAUGUGAAAUACCCGGGCUUAACUUGGGUGCUGCAUUUCAAACUGGGAAAAAUCUAGGUGCGGGAGAGGAGAAUGGAAUUCCUAGUGUAGCGGUGAAAUGCGUAGAGAUUAGGAAGAACACCAGUGGCGAAGGCGAUUCUCUGGACCGUAACUGACGCUGAGGCAUGAAAAGCGUGGGUAGCAAACAGGAUUAGAUACCCUGGUAGUCCACGCCGUAAACGAUGAGUACUAGGUGUAGGAGGUAUCGACCCCUUCUGUGCCGCAGUUAACACAAUAAGUACUCCGCCUGGGAAGUACGAUCGCAAGAUUAAAACUCAAAGGAAUUGACGGGGGUCAUAGCUG